rnacentral:rRNA from 1 species
UGGGGAAUAUUGCACAAUGGGCGCAAGCCUGAUGCAGCCAUGCCGCGUGUAUGAAGAAGGCCUUCGGGUUGUAAAGUACUUUCAGCGAGGAGGAAGGCAUUGUGGUUAAUAACCGCAGUGAUUGACGUUACUCGCAGAAGAAGCACCGGCUAACUCCGUGCCAGCAGCCGCGGUAAUACGGAGGGUGCAAGCGUUAAUCGGAAUUACUGGGCGUAAAGCGCACGCAGGCGGUCUGUCAAGUCGGAUGUGAAAUCCCCGGGCUCAACCUGGGAACUGCAUUCGAAACUGGCAGGCUAGAGUCUUGUAGAGGGGGUAGAAUUCCAGGUGUAGCGGUGAAAUGCGUAGAGAUCUGGAGGAAUACCGGUGGCGAAGGCGGCCCCCUGGACAAAGACUGACGCUC